rnacentral:lncRNA from 1 species
CAGAAACCCUGCAGGACCCAAUGUUACUACCCUGAAUAGAAGACAGUAUUGAAUGUUGCAAAGGUUAGAAGGGAGAUGAUUGACCAGUAAAAUGAUGGAAAUGCAAGAAAAUAAGAAUGUUAAGAUUUUUCAACGCCCACACCCUAAGAAACGGGAUUGAAAAGCAGUGACUUCAAGUAUAACACCAGAGUUUCCAUUUGGAUCCUUGAGGCAGUUGGAGUGAUCAAGCUUUCAAAUCCCUGAAAACGUGAGCUGUGCUAUGUCUGGGGCAGGCUCCAUAUUUUUAUUAUGUACCACACAACUCUAAAAGCAAUACAGAAAUUCAGGGCACUUAGAUUGAAAAAUGAACACUUUCCACAUUUAAAGGAGAAAGACUUACAUAUUUUUGGAGUUACAUACAUUCUUCAUCCCAUUUAUGAAAUCCAAAACCCACGGUUGGGCAUAAAGCAGGAGAUUUAAUACUCUUCUGCUGGUGGGUUUUGUUGAUUUUUACUGCCCCCUCCACCCACCCCUACCUUAUCCCACUCCAUCCCCUCUGCUCUUUUUGUUCUUCAUAGUUUUGUGCUAACUUCAGAGCUGCAAAUGUGUCAUUGAUCACAGAUUUAUAUAUAUGAGCUAAGAGCAGGAAUGCUAAAAUAAUUUCUUUCUCAGGCCUUAAAGAUAAAUGAUAGGUCAAGAUGCUUUACUUCAUAGCCAAACAUACUAAGGCACAGAGCAACAUGGCAGGAAUUUGAGUUGUGAGCGCCAGAAGUGCUUGUUCAGCACUAACAAGAAAUAGGAGAAUAGGAUCAGUAUAAUCUCAUAUUCUUAUUAAAUUAAAAAAAGACAGAGAGUAAUGCCAAGGUUAUGACAUGAACUGACAAGACCAAAAAAAAAAUCAGUUUUUCUGAUGCUUCAGCCUUUGCAAGCAUAGGAAAGAAUUAAAAAAAAAAAAAAAAAAAGCCCUGUGGCAUGAGUUAUAGAUGAAGUAUCUGCCUUUAGCUUGGAAUUUCCUGGCAUUUUUCAGCCUGUGACACAGACUUGAUGUGAUUAAACAAAGGCUUUUCUCCAAAUUUAAAGCUCUUAAAAAAAAAAGCUGAAUCUAAUACUCUAACUUGUUUUUAAAUGGGAGCAGAUGCCUCUGUUUCUUGAGCUGACUUCCAGAUUCUGAGAAAUAAAUGAAGAGUGGAGGCUUGUUUUGGUAGAGGCUGAGAAAAGGAGUUGGCCAUAUUUGCCCUUCAGAACUUCGUGUCAUCCCCCAGCUCCCCAACGGCAGGGCCACAUUCUUUCACAGGACGGAGUUGGGGCAGAUUAUGGCUUCCUCUGGAUUGGAUUUCCCUUGGCUUCCCUGAGGGCAAUCCCCCGAGGAAGCACAUCCUGGAGCCAAACUCACCCAAUGAACCACAGCAACAGCUCCUAGGAGAAUGAAGAGUGUGAAUGGAUGGCCUUUUCAAAAUGAUGAGCCUGGAAGAGUUACAGACUCUGGCCCGAAAGAACCAAAGUUGAAGGUAGAGAUGUUUUAAGGAUGAGCAGAGCAGAACAACUUAGCAGUGGGAUGUUAAAGGCAACAUGAAUCAACCACUCCCUGCUAGAAUGGAAGAUUCAUGGGAGCAGGAACCUUGUUUACUAUGUUCCUUAUUGCAAUCCUAAUGCCUGGAACUCUAACUAAUACGUAGGAGGACUCCACAAUUCAUUGAAAACUGAAGAAAUGAAUUCACUUGCGCAUUUCCAGUUCCAUUCCUGAACUCUUCCUUUAGUGAGAAGCACAUGAUGACCUUGUUAAUAUGAAAAUUGAUAAUGGGGUGAGAGAAGAAAAGAAAAGCAUAAAAUACCUGUCUAAUCCAUGCACCACCAGACACCAGAGCAUGUGGGAAGUGGCCAAGAAGAUGAUGCAGGGACGUCUGAGCCCACUUUCUUAUUGGACUUUCCUAGGUACUGUGGCCUGGGAAAUGAUAUUAGAAGUAAUGCAUUAGAAGUGGAAAACAAAACAGGAAAUUUAAGGUCAACAUUCAGAGUCUACUGUGCUCUCUUACUUGGGCUCACCUGAGAGCAUCUUGGUAGGCCAAUGUUGUUUCAGGGGCUCUGAAGUGGGAUCCCCUUGAGAAAUGACCUUGAGUUUCUCUGUUCCACACAUAUGGAACCCUAGCCUUUGGAGGACACUUAGGUCUAUGUGCUUGGGAUAUAACAAGACUCUGCUUUUGAUCUUGAAAAGCUUGAAUGAUAUUUAGGAAGGCAUGAUAUAUAUACAAGGAAAAUGAAACAAUGUUUAUGGUUUUUUUUUUUUUUUUUUUUUUUUUUUGAGAUGGGGUCUCACCCUGUCGGCCAGGGUGGAGUGCAGUGGUGAGAACUCAGAGGCUCACUGCAACCUCCACCUCCCGAAUUCCGGAGAUUCUCUUGCCUCAGCCUCUCAGGUUGUUGGGAUUACAAGCAUGUGCCACCAUACCUGGCUGAUAUUUGUAUUUUUAGUAGAGACAGAGUUUCAUCAUGUUGGCCAGGAUGGCCUUGAACUCCUGACCUCAAGUGAUCUGCCUGCCUUGGCCUCCCAAGGUGUUGGGAUUACAGGCGUGAGCCACUGUACCCUGACAGAAACAAUUUAUAAGAAAAAUUACAAAGUAACAAUGUGUGCAAAGUGUCAAAUAAAGGAUAACUUCAGAACUGAUGACUUCAGAAGCACAGAGGGAUGACUGAUGCUGCCAGUGACCCCAGAGCCUUUUGUUUUCCUCCAAUAUUCUCAGUGCUUUAAAUAUUUAAUGAUCCUUCAACGUCUCUCUGAAUGCACUCCAAAUUAUGGAAGUCCUGGUUGAGAGUGGGGCCUGGAGCAGUUUAGAACCCUCUAAUCAAAGGCAGGUCCAUCUCUGGAGGAAGUUCCUACCUGGGGCAGAGAACAACUUAUAGCACAGUGCUCCAAAAUUUUCAGAGAACUGUGGGUAAGAUGAAUAUCAAGGUCAGGCUUAAAGUGGAGCAACAAGGGAACGGAUAUCCCAGUUAGCAAUCUGUGGCCCAGGGAGUGAGAGAACUUUAGCCUCAGCCAUUGCAUUUGUAACUGUUUGAGGAUGCAGGAGGGAGGGUCCAGGCUGGGCCUAGAGGACACUGAGACAUAUCUGGGCUUAUCUAAUGAGGUUGAGAAGUUGGUGGGCCACCAGGCUUGCUUAACGGGAGGGUAGAGAUUUUCACAUUGGAGUUUUCAUGUGGUGAUGUGUUUCCUUAGCCUCCCUGUUUUCUAGGAUACAUGGACUAAGGCAUUGGAGUGAGAUAGGAAAAGCUGGAAGGUCUCUAUGAGAUCAUGAGAGGCAGGGGUAAAGGGAUCUGCAGUAACUCAGUGUGACACAGUGUGGAACAGAAUGAUCUCUUUGCCUCUGUGGGGAGGACAGCGUGCCCUAGCACUGUGGCUGGUAGUGUUGGUGUGUCAAGGUCUGUUUCAGGUGGCACUGAAGGCUCUAUGAGCAUUGGCGGCAGAGUGGUGUGUUGGUGAAGAAGGAAAGCCCUAGAGCUCACAGCCAUCGAAGAGACACACCUAAGACAGCUCCUCACACUCCCAGAAAUGUCCUGGGGGAACUUUACAGGGGCUUCACUGGGAUGUGUGUGGGGAGGGCAAAUUUCGGUUAUUAUUUUAAUUGUUAGCCUAACCAUGUCUGCAUCAUGAUACCAUAAGCCAGGGAAACAGUUGGGUCAGAAUUAAUGGAAAUUGUUACUUUUCUCACGCGGUGAUGUUUUAAGUGCCUGCUGAACUCCAUUUCGGGCCCAUAGACUCAGGCCACGCAGGAGUGCCUCAUUUCUGACCUUAUAGAUGACUCAAGUAGGACCCUGAGAGACUGCUGAAAGCUUUCCUUCAUUUUAACUAAUUCAGCACAUAUUCUGUGGUUGCUUUCAGAGAGUAAGGCCUUGUACCAGGAACUUCCACUGUAGCCAAAUAGAAUCUGCAAGCGUGCCAUAAGAGAAAGCCUGGUGCAAGGGACAGAAGAUAGUUCCAGAAUCAAAAGACCUCUGUUUGUAUUUCAGGACAUGUUAUUUUGGGCAAAGAAUCUGAUGUCUCUGGGCUCUAGUACUCUCAACUGUGAAAUGAGAAAAUAUUUUAUGAAUGCAAAAUUGGGACAUAGAGUCUGACCAAGGUUUCCUAUGGGAGUUUCAGGUAUGAGACUCAAACUAGCUCCUAGAGAUUGGGUCUUACAAUGCUUGACUUGGGGCUACAGUUCAAGUGAAUCUAAUAGAAAUGGUUUAGGAUAUUUAAAGCAAAGAUUCCGCUAGACAAUUUUGAAUGAAUUUAGUAUAGAACCUCCCUCGUGGUGGAGUUCUGAGGAUCAAAUGAGGCAAUGAAGGUGGAGGAUAUUUUUAAAAUGUAAAGCACCAAAUAAAUAUUGACCAUUUUAAUUAUUACAUUUUACUACUCUGCAUAAAUCCAGACUUUUGCUUUGUAUUUUAACCCACGUUGCUACCUUGCAGACUUGAGACCCCAGACCUGUCUCUCAUGUUUAUGGAAGAAUCUGACUUUCUGCAGUUCCAAGCAAGCCACUUUCUUGCUUCCUCAGGCACUCAUGAUAAGCACUGAAGGGUACAAUUCUCCACCCACUUAUGUGGGGGAUCCCUUUCCAUGUGGCUUCAUCCUUUCUAUUUCUUAAGUUCAUAUGAAAUAUGGCUCAAAGAAAAGUCUAUCUGAUUCAUGGCCUUUCUCUUUUUUUAAGGUAUGAGAUUUGUUUGUAUUAUUUAAAAUGUAUUCCCUCAUUGUUGUAUACCAUGGGCCUGACCCAAAUCAAAUCAGCAGUUUCUAGGCUUUCUUGCCCAAGACUCCCCAGAUGCUCUUUCUCUGUAUUUCGGUUCUGCUCCCUUUUGCCCUGCACUUCUUUCUGUUGCUGCACUCCGUGGAGUAUCAGACACUAUCUUGGCAUGGCAAUUAGGCUAAUGGUUGGAUUGUGAUAGCCUGAGAAAGCAAUCUGGGUGUCAGGGAUGUCCAUCUAGAAAAAUGUAAGUAAGUGCAAGGAGGGAAGAAGGAAAUGAAAUUCACAGGCCAAACUUCACCAUUAUUUCUCCUUGCAAAGCAAAUAAAUAAGGCCUGAUUUCGGGAACCCAUGCUUUGGUAUAGGUUCAUAGUAGGCUCGUGGGCAACCAGAGGGACAAUACAGUUUUGGGAUAAGGUAGCGUGUAAACUAUGAUUUAAAAAAAAAAUGUAUCCUGUGGUUUUCCUCUGACUCCUCCACAGUUAACCUUCUGAAAAUAAAACCUUAGUGUUGAAA